rnacentral:rRNA from 1 species
CGCUGGCGGCACGCCUAACACAUGCAAGUCGAACGCAGUAGCAAUACUGAGUGGCAAACGGGUGAGUAUAAUGUGGGAAUCUGCCUUUUGGUUUGGAAUAACACGGGGAAACUUGUGCUAAUACCGAAUAAGCCCUUACGGGGAAAGUUUUAACGCCGAAAGAUGAGCCCGCACUUGAUUAGCUAGUUGGUAAGGUAAAAGCUUACCAAGGCAAUGAUCAAUAGCUGUUCUUAGAGGAAGACCAGCCACAUUGGGACUGAGACACGGCCCAGACUCCUACGGGAGGCAGCAGUGGGGAAUCUUGCACAAUGGGGGAAACCCUGAUGCAGCGAUGCCGCGUGAGUGAAGAAGGCCUUUGGGUUGUAAAACUCUUUCGUCGGGGAAGAAAAUGACUGUACCCGAAUAAGAAGGUCCGGCUAACUUCGUGCCAGCAGCCGCGGUAAUACGAAGGGACCUAGCGUAGUUCGGAAUUACUGGGCUUAAAGAGCUCGUAGGUGGUUAAAAAAGUUGAUGGUGAAAUCCCAAGGCUUAACCUUGGAACUGCCAUCAAAACUUUUUAGCUAGAGUGUGAUAGAGGUAAGUGGAAUUUCUAGUGUAGAGGUGAAAUUCGUAGAUAUUAGAAAGAACACCAAAUGCGAAGGCAACUUACUGGGUCACUACUGACACUGAGGAGCGAAAGCAUGGGUAGCGAAGAGGAUUAGAUACCCUCGUAGUCCAUGCCGUAAACGAUGUGUGCUAGACGUUGGAAAUAUAUUUUUCAGUGUCGCAGCGAAAGCAUUAAGCACACCGCCUGGGGAGUACGACC